GGCAGCAGCCGCGGUAAUACCGGCGGCUCGAGUGGUGGCCACGUUUAUGGCUUAAGCGUCGUAGCUGGGUUAUAAGUCCCUUGGGAAAUCCGACAGCUUAACUGUCGGGCGUCUAAGAGAUACUGGUAAUCUUGGAACCGGGAGAGGUGAGGGGUACUUCGGGGGUAGGAGUGAAAUCCUGUAAUCCUCGAGGGACCACCUGUGGCGAAGGCGCCUCACCAGAACGGCUUCGACAGUGAGGGACGAAAGCUGGGGAGCAAACCGGAUUAGAUACCCGGGUAGUCCCAGCCGUAAACGAUGUGCGUUAGGUGUAUCGGUGACCACGAGUCACCGAGGUGCCGAAGGGAAACCGUGAAACGUACCGCCUGGGAAGUACGGUCGCAAGGCUGAAACUUAAAGGAAUUGGCGGGGGAGCACCACAACAGGUGGAGCCUGCGGUUUUAAAUUGGACUCAACGCCGGAAAUCUCACCGGAUAAGACAGCAGAAUGAUUGCCGGGCUGAAGACUCUGCAUGACUAGCUGAGUAGAGGUGCAUGG
rnacentral:rRNA from 1 species